GGGCAUUUGGCACAGUGGUAGCGCGCACGCUUCGCAUUGGCUUUCUUCUGCGUGAGGUCCAGGGUUCAAUCCCCUGAAUGUCCA
rnacentral:tRNA from 1 species